rnacentral:rRNA from 1 species
GACGAACGCUGGCGGCGUGCUUAACACAUGCAAGUCGAACGGAAAGGCCCUGCUUUUGUGGGGUGCUCGAGUGGCGAACGGGUGAGUAACACGUGAGUAACCUGCCCUUGACUUUGGGAUAACUUCAGGAAACUGGGGCUAAUACCGGAUAGGAGCUCCUGCUGCAUGGUGGGGGUUGGAAAGUUUCGGCGGUUGGGGUUGGACUCGCGGCUUAUCAGCUUGUUGGUGGGGUAGUGGCUUACCAAGGCUUUGACGGGUAGCCGGCCUGAGAGGGUGACCGGCCACAUUGGGACUGAGAUACGGCCCAGACUCCUACGGGAGGCAGCAGUGGGGAAUAUUGCACAAUGGGCGGAAGCCUGAUGCAGCAACGCCGCGUGCGGGAUGACGGCCUUCGGGCUGUAAACCGCUUUCGCCUGUGACGAAGCGUGAGUGACGGUAAUGGGUAAAGAAGCACCGGCUAACUACGUG